ensembl:lncRNA
AGAUGAUGGAUAUGUUUAUUACCUGGACUGCGUUGAUGGUCACACAAGUGUCUACAUAUGUCCAAACUCAUCUAUUUGUAUUUAUUAAUUAUGCAGUUUUUAAAUCAAUUAUACUUCAGCAAAGCCAGGCAUGAAAAAGCAGUCAAACACCAAAUAUUAAGUCAGACUCUUUAUUACAGGGAGAGUUAAAAGUCCUGCUCUUUCUUAACCCAAAGAACGCUCUGGCUUGUCUUCAGUGUGGACUCUGACAGAGAAUCUUCAGCUAAAAGUCAUGUAUGUAGCCUUCUUGAGUCAUACAAAUGCAGCGUCAACAGGAUCCUCCAGGGUUUAGAGAGAUAACCAGAAAGGUGCUUUAUCCAUGUUUGAGAAAAGGCAAAAAGCUAGUUGCUUAGAGGUGGGACAAAGUUUGGGUCUCUGAGGUGUGGAAGCAGGAGUGGGUCCUGCUCAGCCUCCAGGGUUGUGCUACACCCUGGAAAGUGGCUGUGUGGGGGCAGAAAGUUUUUAUAACUGUCAUAAUAGCUGCAGUAAUGACUUCCUGGAGAAUUUUCACUGAGAAUGUCCAGGGAUUUGGCUUUCUUCCACUGCUGAGGAAAAGCUCUGGAGCCCCUGCCGGAGGAACUCAGCUUCUACCGCCACAUCUGGUCUCGGCCUUCAGGAACAGCCUGGUUGUCUUACCUUCUUCUGUAAACUUGAGGAAAUUCUGGAGCACCUUCAGAUCACCUUUGCUGCUUCACCUCCCUACUCCCUGGCCUUGACAGAGACCUAGACUCGUAACACACGUGACUCCAUCAUCAGUGACUGGGCUUGCUGGAACACUGCCCACGACAGCCAGAACCUCCUCUGCCUCAAGCCUGCUGCUCUCCCAUAUCUGCCAUGUUGGGAUAAGGUCAGUCAGCUUCAGGACCUAUAUGAGGGUGGUCAAUGCAGUGGCCAUUUUUACCUGGGCCAUCCAGGAUGAUUCCUCCCAAAUUCAAGGCCCCUCCUUCUGUUCUUAACAGUAUCCCACAGCUUCCUUAAGCAGUUGGGGCAGAAAGAACCUUCACUUCAGGGCCCAGGGCAGACCUAUGCUGGGGGGGUGGGGUGGGGUGUGGGGGGGUACUUCCUGGGUGUGACUCUCGGGAAUGGCAGACAACACCAGUCACUAUUUCCUGUAUUCACGGCUGUUAGAGAACUUACACCUUCAUCUGACUUCUGCACAUCAGAAAGAUGCCCUCCCUUGUCAAAUGGAACUCUCCACCUCUAUCAACACAGAAAACUGGGACAGGGCUUCCCUGUCUUCCUCAAGACAUUAGUGGUCUUUGAAGGUCCUGUCAUGGCGCAGUGGAAAGGAAUCCAACUGGGAACCACAAGGUUGCGGGUUCGAUCCCUGACCUCACUCAGUGGGCCAGGAAUUGAACCUGCAACCUCAUGGUUCCUAGUUGGAUUUGUUUCCACUGUGCCACAACAGAUAUUCCCUCAAUUUUAUUUUCUAAAUAGCUCCUAAAACAUUAGAUUUACUGGCUUUGACCUAUUUCUUUUCUCAAAAUGUCUACUUCUUUCCAUUCCCUUAGGUCUGACAUUUUUUCAAGAUGUUUAUUUUUGCAUUAUAGUCUUGAUUCCUUCCUCAGUCUCUUUGAUCAGUUAGUCCACACGGGUGUCACCAUGUGGACGUCUCCCCAUGGGUCAAUUUAGUAUUUGCCCCAGUGUGGGCCUUAUAAGUUUCACCUAUUUAUAAGGUAAUUUCUAGGCUCUG